rnacentral:rRNA from 1 species
GAUGAACGCUGGCGGCGUGCCUAAUACAUGCAAGUCGAGCGAACAGACGAUGAGCUUGCUCCUCUGACGUUAGCGGCGGACGGGUGAGUAACACGUGGAUAACCUACCUAUAUGACUGGGAUAACUUCGGGAAACCGGAGCUAAUACCGGAUAAUAUAUUGAACCGCAUGGUUCAAUAGUGAAAGACGGUUUUGCUGUCACUUAUAGAUGGAUCCGCGUCGCAUUAGCUAGUUGGUAAGGUAACGGCUUACCAAGGCAACGAUGCGUAGCCGACCUGAGAGGGUGAUCAGCCACACUGGAACUGAGACACGGUCCAGACUCCUACGGGAGGCAGCAGUAGGGAAUAUUCCGCAAUGGGCGAAAGCUUGACGGAGCAACGCCGCGUGAGUGAUGAAGGUCUUCGGAUCGUAAAACUCUGUUAUUAGGGAAGAACAAAUGUGUAAGUAAAUAUGCACGUCUUGACGGUACCUAAUCAGAAAGCCACGGCUAACUACGUG